rnacentral:lncRNA from 1 species
GGGUCACGCCACACCCCAGGGCCACCCACCACACCUCCUCGGGACCCUGACCCGCCAGUGCCCACUCCUCCGGAGGGUUUCUCCCCACAGCAGGUACGCCCGGGAACAGCUGGGUGCUGUUGGCCAGGUAGGCCUGGAAGCCUAGGGCCCCAAGGGGGAGAGUGGGGUCCCCCAGAGCUGCACAAGACCUACAGUCACCCCACUGGACUGAGCCGGACUGAGACUGCUGUGGGGUCCCCCAUGAAAAGACCACAGACCCCUCAUAGCUUCAGCCCUUGGGGGCACCAGCUGCCCAGACUCCAGGUAUGGGGCAAGGUUCCAGGACUCCAGACAUACCAGGUCCAAAUCCCACCCUUCUCGGAGGGCUUAGCGUUGCAGGGACUGUGGGAGCCAAGCGCAGCCUUCUGAAGGGUGAGGCAGCCUGGGCGUGCUGGGCCUCCGGCAGGUCCUCCUCCUGCGGUGCUCCUCCCAUUUACAGAGGAGGAACCAGCCUGGGAACCCAGAUUGCAGACAGCAUGGCCAACCCCACAGUCCUCCAGACCCCAGCACUGGGACCUUGGGCACUCCACACUGGCCCUGACCCUCUCAUAACCCC